CGUAAGUUCUCUAUAGAGUUCAUUUUGAAGGCUAUGAUUUUCAUAGUGAAGUUAGGCUAUUAAUUGAAUAUGAGAAACAUCAGGAGAGGAGUUGGAGGAAUAACCAGAACAGGAACAGCCCUUUCUGACCUGUUUACCACUGAGAGUCAGCUUCAUACUGUUGUAGCACCAAGAAGACAGUAACAUAGUCAUUGGAUAAGUCUAACAUGAUGAUGUUAAAGUGAACCGGUGUCAUUCUAUCACAGCAGUCGGGGAAAGACUGUACAUUACAGAGCGGAAUCUGAUGGUAGGAGAUGCUCAGAGGAGGCAGCCCUUGUUGUCAGGCACUUAAGGAAGUGCUAGAUUCCAAGGCAACACAAAACAGCUUCUGGUGCUUCAAAAUUAAAAACAGAAUUUUAAGAAGCUUCCUUCUGAAGUGGAUGGUGGAUACUGCAAAGCUCAUAAUUGGUCAAAAUGCUACGAAUGAACGAAUGGUUGAAUGCUCAGGCCACAAUGGGACAUCUGUGUCAACACCCCCCUCCCUACCUGCCCCUGGCCUCAGGGAACUUUGUCGAAGAAGGGGUAGAAAGGAGGACUGCAGAGUACAGGGAGCCUAAAGAGCUGCAGCCAUCAACCAGCCAUUCAGAUGAAGCCCUGAUUCUAACAAAGGGCAAAAAUAAAACACACAAUGGGAUUACAAGCAACCCCAGUACCUGGGCUUGGCCUUUGUGUAAAGAAGAACAAAGGGAACAGCCAGAUUUCGGGACCUUCAGAUCUUAGCCAGACGAUCAAUGAUGAAGCAGCAUCAGUAAUAAACGGACAAGCAGUGGUUACGUGCCUCCUGAGCUGAUGCUAAGGGGGGAUGUGGUGCAAUGCAAGUAUUACUUUUUGCUUCAAACUACUUGACCUGGAUCCAAAAAUGAAUAAUGAAACAGAUAAGUAUUGAUUAUGGGUGGUGAAGAAAUUAGCUGCCAGAACACCUCAAAAUAGUGUCAUGAACCCUCAAAUUAGUGGAGAGACUUCUAUGUUUCAGCAAAGCAAACAGGCAUGUCAAUUAAAGACUUUUAAAAAGUAGGUCUAAUAUUUAAAACACUUGAAAAAAAGCAAUUGGACACAUGUAUGCAUAUGGUCUGAGUACCUUUGUCCUACCAAUGUAUACUUUGGAGCAGAGGUAAUGUGGGAAGAUAUGCUGGUCCUCAGGAGACUGGAGAGAAGGCCACGGGGUUCCAAGGAAACACUGCACUCUCUUCACCUGUUUCCACAUAAGCUUAGUCAACUCCACAGCUUCUGACUGAUUUGCACUAAGACCAUUCUGAACUGAAGGAAGUUCAUCUGAUCCAGACAGAGGUUGUGUACUUGAGACUCAGUUUCUGAGAGGAACUCCAGAAGAGUAACCACACAGCUGGGAUGAGGCAGUGCAUGAAUCCUGUUGUUGGCACACUGAAGCUGUCCAAGUGCAGCCUUUGCUUACACUGUGAUGUAAAUGUGUCUUGAUAUUACCCUGCAUUUUCCAGAAGAAUGCCCUACACUGCGACAAUGGCAAGUGAAACUUCCUCUUGUGCUAGCCUCUGAUAAUAUCCACAUUGGGCAUUCCCUCUGAACUUUAUCUUCCCAGAGCAUCAAUGGAUGCUUCUUGAGGCCAGCACUCAGCCCCUUUGCAGCCUAACAAGGAGUCUUCACACAUCAAAGCAAGGAAGACACUCCCCUUCACCUCUCAGUGGCUGCAUGCCUCCUCCAUUCAUCUAUGCACUCAGCCAGCACACAUCCACGCACCCCUGCGUGAGGCCUGGCAGACGCCUGGGGCUUCAGAUGCUCAAUCACUAAUCAAUUAAUUUUAAUUUUUGCUUCUAUUCAGCCUGCUAUCUCAAAAACACAAUUAUACCAGAGAAGUUCUGCUAUUUGUUGGAAUCACAACUAAUUAUACCAGUUUGAAUCUCUUUUUCCAAGAUCAAUACUUUCCAAUGCUUAGUUCUGCCUAAAAUAAGCAAAAACCAUACUUCUUUGUUAAAACACAUUCCCUAAUAUGUUACAUCAAUAGUGUAUUCUAUUCAGGGCAGGCUCUCCAGAAGUUAAAGAGAUAAUCAGAGCUCCUUUUAGAAAUAAAGAAAAGACCACUGGGUAUAUAAGACAAAAAGGACAGUCCAUGUCCAUAAAAUGUGACCAGUUUGUUUAAUUAUUUGGGGUAAGUUGUGUAAAACUGCCUGGAAAUCUUCACGGUGUGCACAGAUAGCACUAAUUGACUAUAAAAGGGCUGCUCUCCUGCACUCAGCCUCCGGGACUCAGCCCAGCCUCCUGUGGUCACUGGCGUGCUGGAAACUCUCCACACAAAUAUGAGUAGUAGGACAGCAUAUAGCAAAGGUGACGUCCAGGUCCAGAUCCAGGUCCAGGCUCUCAUUCCACUGUUCCUGUCUGAAGAACAGCACAGUCACUCAGUGUGGCUGAGCCUUGGUGUCACCCUGGAGAACAGAGAGCCCAACCUUCCCUUCUACUACUCUAAUAUCCAAUGAGUUUUGUGGGGAAAAUCCUUAGGCAACCUCAGCAUCCAUUUAGAAGAUGCCAAUAAUGUCUGUCACUGUUAUUUCUCAUACUGUAAGGUGAAGACAAAUGAGUUAAUGCCUGCACACAGCUCUGAUUUCUCUGGAAAAGCUCGGAAAGUCUGUAUUAUAGCAUCUUUUCAUCCACACCAAGGAGGCCUUGAAAUCACAUUUGCUUCCAUCUUUCAAAUGUCAACUGAGAUUAUUAUGAGUAUAUCAAAAAAUCCAAAUGGCACAGAAAAGUGAAGAAAGAUGGAAAGGAGCACAGAAUGAAUGCACAAUGUCAAGUCUACAGCUGAUAUCUAACCCCAAUAAGUGAAGGAGGCAGAAGUCCUGCUCUUUAGAAUAUAAUAAUCAAGCCAACUAACCCCACACAGGCAAACAAAAACCAACAAGUGCCAGUAUUUGGGUGAAGAGGGAGUUUCAAAGGACUAUUAGUGCAGGAUGUUAACUGUCUCCUCAGAUCAGAGCAAUGGGAGAAGGGAGGGGAAAAUUGGAGACAAUCUUGUGAAAAGCUAACACAAAGCAAACUUAUCUGACAAAGAUUUUGCUUGAACUAAUCUAUUUACCUGGCCUUCCACUGCCUAUUUAUGCCUCAUGGUGGUGAUGACCUGCCCCCAUAAUUAGAAGGCUAGAUCUCAGGUGCCAAGAGCAUCUGCUAUCACUGAGUCCUUGCGGGCACACUGUCUUAUGUUAUGUGGCGGCAGCAUCUGGUUUAAGUUUUUCUGUGGGGAAUAUGAAAAUGUGGAAGUUGUGAAAGUCAGUGCUCUACUCUGGCUUGAGAAGUGACAAAAAGUAAAUGCAGAAAUGAUGUUAUGUCUUAAGAGGAGAGGGACAGAGAUCUUGUUGUGACUGUAAUGUGUGCCUUUUACAUAAGAGUUAAAGGGGCUGGACAUGGCUCAGCAGUUAAAAGCACUGGCUGUUAUUUCAUAAGACCCAGGUUCAGUUCCCAGCACCCAUAUGGCAGCUCACAACUGUGUGUAACUCAUGUUCCAGGUGAUCUGAUACCCCCGCAGGCCAAACACCAAUGCACAUAAAAUAAAAAUAAAUAAAUUUUCAAAAAGAAUUAAAAGUGAAAUGCAAUAAUCUAUCUUCAUUUUUCAACAUGGGAAAAACACUUCAAGGCACAAAAAAGACUAAGUUAAAAUCCUCAUUUGUAAUUUUAGGGACAUGGAUGUUGUUAUCAGAAAAAGUGUAAAACAUUAUCGCAACUAAAUGAAUAAAAAUUAAGGUUUUCAAGAAAUUUCCCACUAAUGACAACAAAAUAAAGAAAUGAAGAAAGGCAA